GGGCGCAUAGCUCAGUGGUAGAGCACUACGUUGACAUCGUAGGGGUCAGAGGUUCAAACCCUCUUGUGCCCACCA
rnacentral:tRNA from 3 species